CUUAGUAUAAGUAUUCAAGUUCAGAUAACAAGUAGAUACAUUUAUGAUUUAAGUUUUACCAAAGUCAACUGUUGAAAACAAUUUUUGUAGUUUGAACUACUUCUAAAGAACAUGACUUUUCACUUUUGGAAAAGGAGGACCAAAUUGACAGUUGUAAAAUGUAAUUUUUCAUUUUGGAUAAAUGUCCCUGAUGUUGUAGAAAUGGCCUGGACUAGUGAAAUUCACAAUAGGGAGCUGUGAUCUAAUCUUGGCUUUUUUAAAAAAUCAAAAUCUUGGCUUUAAUCAAGUGACUUAAUUUUGACAAUAGUUGUAUUUUGUGUUGUGAAGACCAAAUGAAAUAGUGGCUACCAUAGUAAUAAUAAUGUGCAAUAGUAGUAAUAAACACCUAUCAGGUGUGGAGUAUCAGUGAGGUGAUGGAUACUAUUUUCCAUAGUUUAUAUCAUGUUUAAUGUUCUCUUUAGGGGAAAUGAGGCUCAACAUUUCAUAACACAUAAGGUACAUUGUCAUCUGGAUGAUUAAUUCCAGACAAAGACACUGUUAGGAGGGAUAUGCUAAGAGACCACUUUCAGAGCUCAGCCUAGAGACUAGGAAUGUUUAAAUCAGCAAAUUUUCAUACUAUAGCAUAUAACAAUCAGCUGGGAGGGGUUGGUGGAAUACAGAUUGCGGUGCUCUAUCUCUAGAGUUUCUGACUAGUUCUUUGUGAGGUCUGAAAAUCAGGCUGCUGCUAGUGUGAAUACCACAGAUUACUACAGUCUAAAUUCAACAUUGUGGGAUUGAAAUGCAAAAACAGGCCCAAUUUGAGAGCUAUUUGGGAGUCAUUCUCAAUCUAUCCCUGUGAUAGUUGCAGUUGUAACUAUUUGAACAUUAUUUUCCAUCAGAUGCUGUACUAAAUCCUUUUGUGCAUUACCUUCUCCCACCUCCACCACAUAUAAUCUUCACAAGCCUCUGAGGAAAAAAAAUAGUAUUCACUCCCUUUUACAGUUAAGGAAAUGGAUGUUCAGAUUAGCUCAUUUCCUAUGAUUUGCAUGGUAAUGAAUGUCUAGUUCUAUAGUUGUGCUUUUGUUACCACUAUGUUAGAGUCAAUCCAAAAAUUCCUUUUAGGUCUGUCUUUUUUGUUUUCUCUGAUACUGCUUAGGUUAGUUCUUGGACUUUCCCUAGUAAAGCUUCUUAGAAGAUCCCCCUACCUCAUAUCUGAUGCCACCUAAUCUCUUUCACACUGCUUACAGUUUUCAUUCUUAAAAAUAGGCUAUAUUGUGCUACUCCCUGCUUUAAAAUUGAUUUUUAUUUUCCAGCUCUUCUGCCCAUUUGUCUUCAAAGUACAAUGGACCCUCAAAUUACAACUGGCCUGACAUACGAACAACUUGGAUUCAUUAGAUUAGAACGAGGGAGCUGCAACACGUAAUUACUAGAACAUUUGGAAAAGCCAUGUUUUACCCAGUUAUGCUUGCAGGGUGUCUUAGUCACUUUCCUUGUGGCUGAGAUACAAUACCCAACACCCUGAACUUAAAGGAGGGCAGAAAGAGCAUGGUAGAGAAUAGCUGCUCACAUCAUGGAGGUCAGAAAGCAGAGAGAGGAGCGAGAGCCAAGGGCGUGAGAUGCCCCCAGUGACCCACCUCUGUCCUCCUUAGCAGCAUGUCAGCUGUGAACCUCUCAGUGGACCAAUCUACGCAUCAUAUAGUGCCUAGUCACCUUCCAAACACGUGAGACUGGGGGCCACUUUUCACAUCCCAACCAUAACAGGAAAACCUGAAUAACUUGACAAAAUAGCAAAUAAUAUUUACAAAAACUUAACUUUGAGUAUGUCUUGAAAUUUUAAUAUAUAUUGUCAAUGGAAUACAAACCCAAGAUAGAUUUUUUUAAUGAUAUUUCUAAUUAUAUGUUUUCUUAUAAAUUCCAAGCUCAAGAAAAUUGAAGAGGUAUUUUUUUUCCUGUCUUGUGUGUGUGUGUGUGUGUGUGUGUGUGUGUGUGUGUGUGUGAAUAAAUACGAGUUUUAGGGCAAGGAAAUGAAAUGGUGAAAAUAGCAUUCAUUUCAGGGCUUAAAAAAAUAUUGUAAAGGAAUGUGUGACUUUAAGUAAAAAAGGAACACGUAUGGUCCAAAGAACCAUCAUAAUUGACAAAUGUGCUAGUAAUCAUUUAAUAGAAAACAAACUUUAUUACACAAAAUUCCAUGACAAAUAAUGCUUAACACAUGUUUGGAAAUAAUCCCAGACCAAAUCCCAGGGCCACUGUGAUUUAGGGAGUGUGGUAAAAUUUGCAACUCUGUGGCAUUCUAGUCCUUAUUUGUAGCUAAACUGGGACAUCAUUCCCAAUUUCUUCAGCAAAGACAGUAGAGUCAUUUAAAUUGUCCACUGGUAAUUGGUUUUUCUUGAUAGAAAAUGGAAAAAAUUGAGCAUGAAUAUUUUUUACUCAUCUGGGAUAAACAUUACUAUGUCUGGUUUCCAUGUGGAGGUUUCUUUACUGAUGUCUGUCAUUACUCAUAGUUUUAUUAAUUAUAUUUAUAGUCCUUAAUUAAUAUUAAGUACUUAAUUAUAGUACUUAAUAAUGGUAGGAAUUUGGGGAAAUUCUAUUUUUACCCACAGCAGUUGAAGGAUCAUUACUAUCCCCCACCCCCAAAGAAAGCCUCCUCCAGAAUCAUUUUAAUAACUAGAUAGCUUGCCUUCUAAGUACCCAUAGCCCUUCUUCAACUUCCACCUAUAUGCCACACACAGGCAAACGUCUGUUUCAUCCCAGCCAUUCCCCCUUUUGUGUGUACCACACACAUAUACUGAAUAGCCCACUAAAUGUUUCCAUUUGAGUAUCCUGUGAAGACCUCAAAUCUCUACAUGUCCAAAAACCCAUUUAUCUUUAUCCCUGUAUAGCAAAUACAUAUGCUCUUAGCAAACUGCUUAAACUCUACAAGACUUAGUUUCCUCUUUUGUAACAUAGAUAUAA